rnacentral:rRNA from 1 species
GGCCUAUCAGCUUGUUGGUGAGGUAAUGGCUCACCAAGGCGUCGACGGGUAGCCGGCCUGAGAGGGUGACCGGCCACACUGGGACUGAGACACGGCCCAGACUCCUACGGGAGGCAGCAGUGGGGAAUAUUGCACAAUGGGCGCAAGCCUGAUGCAGCAACGCCGCGUGAGGGACGACGGCCUUCGGGUUGUAAACCUCUUUUAGCAGGGAAGAAGCGAAAGUGACGGUACCUGCAGAAAAAGCGCCGGCUAACUACGUGCCAGCAGCCGCGAUAAUACGUAGGGCGCAAGCGUUAUCCGGAAUUAUUGGGCGUAAAGAGCUCGUAGGCGGUUUGUCGCGUCUGCUGUGAAAUCCGGAGGCUCAACCUCCGGCCUGCAGUGGGUACGGGCAGACUAGAGUGCGGUAGGGGAGACUGGAAUUCCUGGUGUAGCGGUGGAAUGCGCAGAUAUCAGGAGGAACACCGAUGGCGAAGGCAGAUCUCUGGGCCGUAACUGACGCUGAGGAGCGAAAGCAUGGGUAGCGAACAGGAUUAGAUACCCUGGUAGUCCAUGCCGUAAACGGUGGGCGCUAGGUGUGGGGGUCUUCCACGACUUCCGUGCCGUAGCUAACGCAUUAAGCGCCCCGCCUGGGGAGUACGG